AUUUUUUGAGAUGUAAUUCAUAUGCCAUAAAAUUUUGCAUUUUAGGAGUAUAUACGGUUCAUUGGUUUUUAGCACAGUCACAAUGUUGUGCAAGGCUGUGCAACAUUCACCACUGUAUUUCUGGAACUUCUUUUCACCCACCCUCCCGCCGCCAUGCCUAGUAGCUAAUCCAACUCUGUCCCCUUGCUACAGUCCCAGCAAGCAUUCAUGAGCUCAUGAGCUGUCGCUCUGGACAUGUCUACGCAGUACGUUCCAUGUACCUGGAAUCACGCAGUGCCUGCCUUUUGCAAAUGACCUCUCUCUUGGGCACGUGUUCAAGACUCACCAUGUUGUAGUGUGUGCCCAGUACUUCGUCCAUCUGCAUGUGUGACGGUCCAUUGUGUGGCUGGACCCCAUUUUGUCCAUCUGUUCUUCAAUCAGUGGGUUUCAGCCAGUUGCACUUUCUGGUUGUUGUGGAUAGUAUUGUGGUGGGUGCUCAUGUACAAAUGUUUGUGUACUCAUGUACAGAGAUUUUCCAUUCUGUUUACCUAGGAGUAAAAUCCGUUCUGUUUACCUAGGUUUACCUGGGAGGUAAAAUCUUAUAUCUGUGUGUUCAACCUUUUGAGGAGCCGCCAAACUUUUCCAAAGUGGCUGCAGCACUAGGCAUUCCCAGCAGUAGAGUGGGAGGGUUCCAAUUUCUCCACAUCCUUGUCAACACUUGUUAUUAUCCAUUUUCUUGAUUCUAGCCAGCUGGGGGAGUAUGAAGUGGUGUCUCAUGGCAUUGUUACUUUUCCCUGAAGACUAAUGAUGUUGAGCAUUUUUUCAUGUGCUUAUUGACCAUUUGUAUAUCUUCAUAUGGCAAAAUGUCCUAACUCUUUGCCUGUUAUGUAAUUAGGUGAUCUUUUGAUUAUUAAGAGAAUUCUUUACAAAUUGCAGAUAUAGGUACCCUACCGGUACUUUUUUCAUUCUGUUAAGUUUUCUUUUCAUUUUCUUUACGGUAUCCUUAGAAUCAUGAAUGUUUAAAUUUGAUGAAAUCCAUUUUAUUUGUUAGGUGCCAUAUCUAAGAAACUGGGCUAACCCAAGAUAGCUGGUUCAUUUUGAUCUCCCAAGUGACUGGUUGGUUUUCUUUCUGCCAACUGGCCGAACAUCAGAGAACUGUCUUCACAUUGCAGCAUGAAAAAACAUCUCCCUGGGCAAUUCUUAACAACUGGCAGGGCUGGAACCUGAGAUUCUCUGACUCUCCAGAUGCCAAAGUCAACCUGGAUCCAGAGGUCAGGACCCAGCUGACGACCACACCUGCCAGAGAUAUGGAUGGUCUUGCUCCCUGCUGGCCCUGUGCCCUAUGAUUCCCUCUCUGGUCCGAUGUUGAGCCCUCCCUGGAGCUUUAUCUUCAGGAUGCCACAGGUGGGAAGAAGUUCAGCACUUACUCUCUGCCAAAGUGCAUGCCCCCUUUCUUCACCCAGACUGGGGACUCCAACAGAACUCGGCGCUGGCCCUUGACUAGAGGGAGAAGGGCGCAGGACUUGGCCUGGCCCCUGCUCUUGGCCACAUUUCUCCUGAUGGCCCAGUUUUGCUCUGUACAAGAUCCUGCUGCAGGGCUUACCUUUAGAACUCAGGAGGCCAAGUCCAUUCUAUUCCUUAUUGCCCUUAUGUUCUCUGACAGUUCUGGAGGUUGUAAGUCACUCUGCAGGCUAAAGUCAGUUGUCAGCGGGCUAGUUCCUUCUGGAGACUUUGGGAGAGAAUCCCUUCUCUUGCCUUUUCCAGCUUUUAGAACCCCCUCAUUCCUUGAGCUGCGGCCACUUCUUUCACCUUCCAGCUUCUGCUUUGGUGGCCACAUCACUUCCUCCUCCCUUAUCUCUCACCCUUCCUGUGAUAAGGACAGUAUGCUGACUAAUGUCCCUCUUACAGUCAGGACACUCCCAUCUUAAGUUCCUCAAUCUCACUGGUAGAUGUCCUUUUUUUCCUGUCAGGUCACAGCUUCCCCGGCUCUGGAACCAGGGUGAGACAUUUUUAGGGCCAUCUUUCAGCUGACACUCUGGGUCUCUGCCCCUCAGUUGUCAUUUGUUGCCAGUAGGAGGUUGUUCCCUGAGAACUCUAGAGAAGAAAGGGACAUAUGGCUGAGAUAGUGACCCCACCUGCCCAGAAACGUCUGGCGCGUCAGCAGCGCUUGAGCUCUACAGAAAAUUGACCUUCCUUCCACCCUAAAAGAACUUUAUCUGAAGCCUGGCAUCGACAGUUUGAGGUCCUUGGGUAUUCUUGGGGUAGCCAAGGUUCAGAACAGUUAUAGAAGCUAAGAGUCCAACUCAGGUAAAGACACAUAAACCAUAAACGUGACCAAAUGAGGCGUGUUCUUGCUUCAGCGGUGGCAGCAGCUCACGAGCACUGCACUCUCUGGGUCAUGGAACCACCUGAUGGCCCUGUGUCUCUCCAUUUUACAAGGGAGCCCAGCUGUUGCCAGGCCCAGAGCCAGCAAGUGGCAAAGUUACCCUUCAGAUCCAAGCUUUCUGGAUCCUGAGAACUGUCCUCAUCUCUCUCCCAGACAGGGGGUGUGAGCACAUAGGUCCAGGAGAGUGAGCCCCUGUGGCUUCUCCCUGGAAUUUCCCAACUUGGUGGGUGACCACAACUCCCUGAACAAAGGAUGACGGAACCCUUGGGAAUAACCUUAGUGCUGGGAGCUCACCUGGUAGGGCAAGAUGGGAGAAAGCUCUGGAGCGUGUGGGGGCAGGUGAGUGCCCCUGCUUCUUCCACCUGGGCCCCUGUGUUCCUCUGCACUGUGCCCCUGGGGACCCAGUUCCUGCCAAGCUGGGGCCCUCCCUGCAGGGUGCCUCCAGCGGGAAAGGUCAGCAGAGAGUGGACAUCAAAGGCCCUUGAUUUAAGAGGCUUUCCCAUUGAGUGGAAUUUCACAGCCCAGUGGCCAAUUUCUAAGCCAUGCGUGUUAAUGGGCAGCUAAUGAGGGAUCCAAGGGGAAAAUGCAGGAGGCGCCCCAGGUCCCAGAUUAAGAAUUACAAAGCCAAGGCUGCUGGGAGGGCUGUGUCUCCUUUCUCACUGCCUCAGGGUUGCUUUGGGGGGUAGAAGACUGGGAAGGAGGGAUCCUCGGGGAGGGGUGCCCCUUUACCACCAGGGCCAUGUAAAUUUCCUGGACUCUGUUCAUCGGUUCAUUCACUUAACACCUGCCCUGGACUGUGAGAGUUGGGGUGUGGGCGGCAGCUCGACAUCACAGGCUGUGCAUGCAUCUAGUGCCAUACUUGUUGGUCAGGGCAUUUUUAACCACCUGCUCCACUGGCCUGAGCACAUCGCUGUCCUGGACCUUGACCCCUUUGGUUCCGUGUGAGGAUUCAGUGGACACAGUUCUCCUCCCUUCUUGCUGCGUUGAGAGCCUGGCAGGGCAGCUGGUCAGACACUGGUGACUGCUACCUAGUCUGCACAGUAGUCACGCCACCAGGUGUUGAGAUGAGGAAAAACCUCUGGAAGCUCAAGUCUGUAGGGCUGACCUGUGUUGGACAGAGGAGAACUUGGUGGGUGAACACUGAGCUUUGGGAUGCCUAAUUAUAGCAGUGCUUCUCAGCAUGGGGUCCCCAACCCAGCAACAGCAACUCCCCACUCAGAUCCAUGAGUUGGAAACACCAGGAUGGCUGGGCAUCUGUUCUUACGUGCCUUUGAAGGCACCAGGAAUAAACAGGUUCACAUUUAAAUUUGAGUUCUGACCUUUGUAAUCUGCUUUUUCCAGAAUGGGUUCAAUCUUGAUAUUCUGCCACCUGCACUGAUGAUAUAUCAGGUCAGAUGGGAUCUCUAAUCAAAGUGUGAGCCCAGGACCACCUCUUGGAGCUUGUGGUUAAAGUGGGAUCUCUGCUCCACCCAAGGGGGAUGAACCCAAAGCUGCAUUUCAACAAGACCUCCAGGGCAUCCGCAUGUGCAAGGAAGCAGCUGCUGACUGCCUGGCCUUUGCACAUGUUUGCCACUUCUGUAGCCCACUUUGCAGUAGACAGACAACCCGCUUUUGCUCUACGCUGUUUCCACUCUCUCCUUCAGACUGGGGGCCUCAGAGGAGCAUCUGAGGGAAGAGGCAAUAAAAAAACUGGCUCAGGUCACUGCUUGAGCCCCCUUGAUCUCUCCCAGCUGAUCUCCCUCCACCCUCUCUGAGGAGGGGCCUGCUCUGCUGCAGGGGAGGUGGGAGCCUUAAGAUUCCUUUCACAGGCCAGGAGUCUCAGGCACUGCCAGUGCUUGGGACACCUGCCUCUGACUACUUGUCCCUGUCUGCCCAGGCUUUGGGACAUGAUCACAACAUUCACUAGGGCCCCCCUAAUUUAUGACUUGUGAUUCAUCUACCCCAGGCAGAACUAGAAUCUUCUACCCAGGUAUUUGGCCCCAGAAAUGAAGCUGAACCAUGGAGGGAGCCCGAGUUCCUGAUGACUGAGGACAGUCUGAGGUUUGGAGUCAGUGGUAAGGACUGGGGUGGAGCAGUUAGUGCAGAGGUGUGGUUGGAGGUGGGGGUGGCAAGGAUGCUGGGAGAGAGCAGUGACUAGAAGGGGGGUGAGCACCGGGAGUCAUGGCCAUUGGAUGUAGGUUGCUUGAGAAAGGGGUGGCAGAACACAGGGAGAGGUGGCUGGUGACUUGUGGAGGGGGAGGCAUUGGUUCUGAUGGGACUGUUGCAGCUCUACAACAACUCUGAACCUGAAGUGUGAAGACAGCCCUUGCCUGCCCUCUGCUGUUUCUAUUCAUGGAGGGUGGAGCCCCACAAAGCAGAGGCCUUUUGGAAAAGCAGAUCCCUAUGGCCCCAAGCCCCGGCCUGUCCUCACUGGGUGCCAGCUUCAUUCUCCUGAAAUCUGCACUGGGGGCUGGCCUACUCAACUUCCCCUGGGCCUUCCACAAGGCAGGUGGUGUGGCCCCUGCCCUCCUGGUGGAGCUGGUCUCCUUGGUCUUUCUGAUCAGUGGGCUGGUCAUCCUGGGCUACGCAGCCUCUGUCAGCGGCCAGGCCACCUACCAGAGCGUGGUGGGAGAGCUGUGUGGCCCCACCAUUGGGAAGCUGUGCGAGGCCUGCUUCAGUGUCAAUCUGCUCAUGAUCUCCGUGGCCUUCCUCAGGGUGAUUGGGGACCAGCUGGAGAAGUUGUGUGACUUCCUCCUGCCCAGCACCCCGCAGCCCUGGUACGCAGACCAGCGCUUCACCCUGACCCUGCUCGCUGUGCUGGUCAUCCUGCCUCUGUCUGCCCCGAGGGAGAUCGGCUUCCAGAAGUACACAAGCAUUCUAGGCACACUGGCCGCCUGCUACCUGACCCUGGUCAUCGUGGUGCAGUACUACCUGGGACCCCAGGCCCUUGCUCGGGAGCCCCGCACUGCACUCAGCUCUUCCUCCUGGACCUCGGUGUUCAGUGUCUUCCCAACCAUCUGCUUCGGAUUCCAGUGCCACGAGGCUGCUGUCUCCAUCUACUGCAGCAUGCACAACCAGGGCCUCUUGCACUGGGCCCUCGUCUCCGUGAUGUCAUUGUUGACCUGCUGUCUCGUCUACUCACUCACAGGGGUUUAUGGCUUUCUGACCUUUGGGAGUGAAGUUUCUGCUGACAUCUUGAUGUCCUACCCAGGCAACGACAUGGUCAUCGUGGUCGCCCGGAUCUUCUUUGCCAUCUCCAUCGUGACCGUCUACCCCAUUGUGCUCUUCCUGGGGAGGUCGGUGAUGCAGGAUUUCUGGCAGAGGAGCUGCUGGCUGGUGUGUGCGCCCCGGGCCUUGGCUGACCCCUCAGGGCCAUGGGUUCGCAUGCCACUGACCAUCCUGUGGGUCACCGUGACGCUCGCCAUGGCCCUGUUCCUGCCCGACCUCAGUGAGAUCAUUGGCAUCAUUGGCGGCAUCAGCUCCUUCUUUAUCUUCACCUUCCCAGGUCUGUGCCUCAUUUGUGCCAUGGGCCUCGAGCCUGUUGGACCGAGAGUCAAGUGCUGCCUGGAGGUCUGGGGAGUGGUCUCCGUGCUGGUGGGCACCUUCAUCUUUGGACAGAGCACAGUGGCAGCCAUCUUGGAGCUCUUCUGAAGGCGCUGCUGCAGGUCAAACCAGAGGGUCUGAAACCACAAAUCACAAAGCCAUGCUGGAGAUGAGCCACCUCUGCCAGGGACGCCUCCAGAACCACCACCACACACCACAGAAGCUAGGAUCCCCUCCCCCAGAGUUCCAGCUCCUCUACCCCAAGGUCCCAGUGGCUCUCAAGUUCCCUGGAGGCCAGGCCUGCCCACCCACAGGCACAGAGCUGGCUCAGAGGGGCCCUGGGAAGCUGGAAUGACCGCUGCAGCACUGAGCCCAACGCUUCCAGAAACAUCCUAUUUAACCAGCUCUCUGGGACAGGUGAAGCCCUGUCUUGUGCUCCAGGAGAUCAGGAACCCCCUGGACGCUGCUCACCACCACAUUCUGGUGUCUGGAACAGGGCCCAGCGCUGCCCGGAAGCCCCCUGCGUUCCCUGUGCCACAGCAGGACCCAUGGACACCGAUGGCCACAAAAGCUGAUCCAGGGCAGGGCUGGGCCCAAACCCGGGCCUCUCCUCCUGACAAUCACGAUUCUUCCUUUACUGGGCACCCCAGUGAGCACCACCUCCGGUGGUGGAAGGUGCCUGCCACGAGGAGGAUGCAAGCUUCGAGCAGAAAAGAUGGAGUCUCCCAAGGCUGGAAACCAGAGCGAGCAGAGAGGGCCGUCCUCACAGAGGGUCAGGCCAUGCUGACGGGCCCAGCCAGACCCGAAAAGCGAUAAACUCCACACUAGCUAAAAUUCCACAGAGGAGCGACUCUCCCAAAGACCAGAGUGAUGAGAACCUCCCUGCUGGGGCAAAACGCAGCUGCCCGCCCGCCCCCAACCUCCCCAGAACUGCCAGUGGCCCCCAGCAUUCUUCUUUUUUUCCUUAAUAAACCUGCCCUUUGAAAAUACGGCUGUUGCCCAUUUGUCUACACACACGUCUUUCUCCUCCUUUUAGCAACACUGCCGCUGCACGGGGGGCACUCCGGAACCCGUUCCCAGAGACGCAAGGGCCCCACUCACC